GACGGAGGAUGCAAGUGUUAUCCGGAAUCACUGGGCGUAAAGCGUCUGUAGGUCGUUCAAUAAGUCAACUGUUAAAUCUUGAGGCUUAACUUCAAAAUCGCAGUCGAAACUAUUAAACUAGAGUAUAGUAGGGGUAAAGGGAAUUUCCAGUGGAGCGGUGAAAUGCGUAGAGAUUGGAAAGAACACCAAUGGCGAAAGCACUUUACUGGGCUAUUACUGACACUGAGAGACGAAAGCUAGGGGAGCGAAUGGG
rnacentral:rRNA from 1 species